AGCGAACGCUGGCGGCAGGCCUAACACAUGCAAGCCGAACGAACUCUUCGGAGUUAGUGGCGGACGGGUGAGUAACACGUGGGAACGUGCCUUUAGGUUCGGAAUAACUCAGGGAAACUUGUGCUAAUACCGAAUGUGCCCUUCGGGGGAAAGAUUUAUCGCCUUUAGAGCGGCCCGCGUCUGAUUAGCUAGUUGGUGAGGUAAAGGCUCACCAAGGCUACGAUCAGUAGCUGGUCUGAGAGGAUGACCAGCCACAUUGGGACUGAGACACGGCCCAACCUCCUACGGGAGGCAGCAGUGGGGAAUCUUGCGCAAUGGGCGAAAGCCUGACGCAGCCAUGCCGCGUGGAUGAUGAAGGUCUUAGGAUUGUAAAAUCCUUUCACCGGUGAAGAUAAUGACUGUAGCCGGAGAAGAAGCCCCGGCUAACUUCGUGCCAGCCGCCGCCGUAACAC
rnacentral:rRNA from 1 species